rnacentral:rRNA from 1 species
UCGGAGGUACUCGAGUGGCGAACGGGUGAGUAACACGUGGGUGAUCUGCCCUGCACUCUGGGAUAAGCCUGGGAAACUGGGUCUAAUACCGGAUAGGACCAUGCUUUAGUGUGUGUGGUGGAAAGUUUUUUCGGUGUAGGAUGAGCCCGCGGCCUAUCAGCUUGUUGGUGGGGUAAUGGCCUACCAAGGCGGCGACGGGUAGCCGGACUGAGAGGUUGGUCGGCCACAUUGGGACUGAGAUACGGCCCAGACUCCUACGGGAGGCAGCAGUGGGGAAUAUUGCACAAUGGGCGCAAGCCUGAUGCAGCGACGCCGCGUGGGGGAUGACGGCCUUCGGGUUGUAAACUCCUUUCGCCAGGGACGAAGCGUUUUGUGACGGUACCUGGAGAAGAAGCACCGGCUAACUACGUGCCAGCAGCCGCGGUAAUACGUAGGGUGCAAGCGUUGUCCGGAAUUACUGGGCGUAAAGAGCUCGUAGGUGGUUUGUCACGUCGUCUGUGAAAUUCCACAGCUUAACUGUGGGCGUGCAGGCGAUACGGGCUGACUUGAGUACUGUAGGGGUAACUGGAAUUCCUGGUGUAGCGGUGAAAUGCGCAGAUAUCAGGAGGAACACCGAUGGCGAAGGCAGGUUACUGGGCAGUUACUGACGCUGAGGAGCGAAAGCAUGGGUAGCAAACAGGAUUAGAUACCCUGGUAGUCCAUGCCGUAAACGGUGGGCGCUAGGUGUAGGGACCUUUUGGGGUUUCUGUGCCGUAGCUAACGCAUUAAGCGCCCCGCCUGGGGAGUACGGCCGCAAGGCUAAAACUCAAAGGAAUUGACGGGGGCCCGCACAAGCGGCGGAGCAUGUG